UGGCGGACGACGUCGACUCGCUGCGUGUUUUUCAUAUGUUUUAACGAAAAACACAGACAAUAACUUGAUAUUUACGUUUAUGUUGGUGGAAUGGAAGAUGGUCUGUCUUGUUGUAGCAGAUCAGCACUUGACAGUGAGGUAUUUACAGAAUGAAUGACUGUAACAUGUGAUUUCUUGAUUAAUCUGGAAAAGUGCAAGUUCACAUUCUGGUUGGCUGUUCAGUGUAAUCAAAUUCCACCCACAUCACAGGUGCUCAGGGAGAGACAGCAAUAUGAAACAUAGUGGACAACCAUGUUAGCACACAGACAGAAACACUUUGGUUGACAGUUGAUUCAAGGUUAUACUGUGU
rnacentral:lncRNA from 1 species